UCUUAGAUACAAUUAAACUUAUAUAGUUACUUAUAUAAUCUUAUAUAAGUGAAGUUGCAUCCUUUUUAGGAUUGUUGCAGAUUCUUAAGGAAGAAGAUUGGUGUGGGAAUUACCCUAAUCUAGAAAUACCUAGUGAGGAAGUUAAAAUAAUGUGUAUUUCUACCAAGAUAGUCAUGAGCAUUGUUUAUACAAAAGGACAGCCUUGGGCUGUUGGACUUUGCAGGGCAGAGCUCCUACUGAACCCUGUGACCAUGGCCAGAAACUUUUCAUAGAGUACUAAUGGUUCUUGUUCACUCUUUGGUGUAACUUGGUUUGACACCAACGAGCAGCUUCUGUUCUGCAGGGGUUCCUACCGUGACUGGAAGAGGUUAAAUGCAGUGGGCAGAGCCUGCAGCUGAGUUCAGAGCUGAUGUCCUUGGGGAGCGUGGACUUCCUUCAGGUGCAAGCUCUCAGGUGAAGAGAAUGAACUCAGGUGCUCUCACAGAAACAAGAUUUGCACCAAAAUCUCAGAGACAAAUUGUUACACGCAGGUAGUGUUUUUUCUGGUGUGUUUGGGUCUGGCCAAUGAUGUACGUAUGCUGGCCUGGGUGGCAGUCAAGAAUCUUAGUUUGUAAGAUUUGGAUGAGAUAGUAAGUUUGUAAGGUGUCCCCAGGGAAAAGAGGAAAUGAGUCUGUAGGUCUGCGCAACUCUUCGUUGCCACAUGUUAAGGAUCUAAUACACCUAACACAGGUUCAUAAAUACCCUAGGGUAAUCCAUGGUAUUUUAAUCCUUGCUGUUUGUUUAAACAGGAUUGUCCAAUUGCUGCUUGCCAGUUAGGGAAGACUUCACAUCUGUGACUGGAGAAGGCUGUGAGGCUGUAACAGGAGAAGGACUUGCUGGGCUUAACUUCUCUUUUACUAUUUCCCUCCAACCACAGUUACUGGCUGCUUCUGGGGAGUUGUUGGCUGUACUCAGUUACGUGCUGUCUGACCUAGCUAUUGGAUACCAAGCAGAAACCAGAGCACGGCAUAUGGAAAGAGUCAUCUCUGUGGAUGGUGGACGAACAUCAAUAUUAACGAGCUGUUACUCAUUUACACUGAAGUUGCCCAUGCUCUUCAAGGACCACAUUACAGCAACUCCCCUGCUCUUUAGGUGCAUACUAUUAAUGUGAAACCCUGGUAGAUUACCCAUUUUGGUGAAGCUAGACAGAGUGCACUUCUCACUUUCACCUGCAUUUGUAUAGGAUUGUGUACGAAGGCAAGUGAUAUACGAAGUCUUUAAAAAUUACCUGGUUUGUAUAUUCCUAGAUUGCCACAUAAUAUUAAAUAAUCAGAUUUAAUAAUGAUUUGACAAAAUCAAAGAUUAAAAAAUUAUUAAAAUGUCAAGGUUUUUUUUGUUUGUUUUUUUUUUUUUUUACAAUUGCUACCUAUUAUUAAUUAAAUGCAAAUAUUUUGUAUCCCAUAAUUCUGUUGCAAUGCUCUUUAUUUCCCCCGAUCACAGCACCUCUCGACCCAAGAUAAAAACAUCUACAAACUCGUAUCUGCCUCUUUUCUCACUGCACUGGUGCUACUCAGAGAGUGGUACUGUUCGUAAUCACUAUUGUAAUAGGCAUACUUCUUCCAGUUUCUAUUUUUUCCCAUUCAUAUUUUUUUGCCUUUUCAUUCCAUGGCAUUAGUAACAUUGAAGCUUCAAAAUGUUUAAAAUAUUCCAAAACUAUUACUUUAAAGCCCAGUCAUCAUAGCACUUACCUAUUGCUUCCAUAGAAAGAUCAGCUUCAUCUUUUUUAUCUGAAAUACAACAUGGUGUUAUCAGUAAUUUUUCUUCCU